rnacentral:snoRNA from 1 species
GGACUGUGACGAUAUCUGUGUUUUUCGUUGUAGUUGACCAAAUCGGCCUUGCUGACUAUUCUGCUAUAUCACCACCCAGGUUCUGAGUCC